rnacentral:lncRNA from 1 species
GAGGGGUUUAACGAUUGCUAUGGUUCUGUGACAUCAACUCUUUGUAUCUUGCUUCUUCAGUGUCACCAUUCUGUGCUUUUCACCUCUGUUUAUCUAAUUCUAUGUUUAGCUUCUUCUGGUAACAAACUGGGGGUAGAAGACUUGCAACUUGCAAGUCAGAACUUGACUCUAAUGCUCCAAAACAUUUAUUUCUUGGGGAUUGGAGAUAAUAGGAAUUGUUGUGAUUUAACAAAAAAAUAAUAUCAAUAUUGGCCUAGUUUUAUUAGAUUUCCCCUAGGCUAUAAUAAUAUUCCACGAAUCCUUUGGUGGAUAACCCAAGGAUUCGGUUACGUUGUGAGCUUUGCAAUUUGCGGCGGCCUGUGGGUA